UACGUAGGGCGCAAGCGUUGUCCAGAAUUAUUGGGCGUAAAGAGCUCGUAGGCGGCCUGUCGCGUCUGCUGUGAAAUCCCGGGGCUUAACCCCGGGCGUGCAGUGGAUACGGGCUGGCUGGAGGCAGGCAGGGGAGAACGGAAUUCCCGGUGUAGCGGUGAAAUGCGCAGAUAUCGUAAGGAAGACCAGUGGCGAAGGCGGGUCUCUGGACAGUUCCUGACGCUGAGGCACGAAGGUCAGGGGAGCAAACGGG
rnacentral:rRNA from 1 species